AUUCGGCAAAUGAGUGAUUACACGAAAGUUUUUAAUUGUUUUACGUGGAGAUGCGAUCAUCUGCACGAUAAGGCACACGUUUUACGCUCUCUCACUUUCUCUUAGUUAAUUGAACAUCUUAUCAACAUUGAUUUCGUCGCACCCGUCGCGUCGCGUUAUCAGCUUUAUCUGAUAAAUUCAGCAUCUGCUGUACGAAUCUCAUAGUAAAAAGUCUCAGGUGUGGAAAUCGUUUGAUUGAAUCAGUCAUUAUUGAACCUUUGUGUAAAUUUUUCAAUUUCGUUAAUUGAUUAUUGCAGUGGAAAUGGCGGAUUUUCGUCCUGACAUGAUCUACUUUGAUGAGCGCGGAUACGAAAAACAUCUCUAUUCAAUUGAAAACGUUUACCUUGAUGACCUGGAUAAAUUUCCAGCACUCGCUGAUGAGCCGAGAGCCUCAAACGAGGAAGCGGACGAGGAACUGGCGCACGUUUACCGGAAUGUUAGAGAUGCUAUUUAUUAUUACGAAGUCACAAGCGAUUCACCCUCUUUCUUGCUAAAAGAAAAGACCGCGAAAAUCAGGAAGGUGGUUUACAAAAAUCUUGGAAUACCAAAGGAUCUUCGGACAACCAAUUACAACAGUAAGGCCUUUUUGGCGGCAAAACGAAUCCGCUCUCGUUUGCUUGUAGUGGGAUACGUGGAAGUCCGCCCUGUCACCUCAGGCUAUUGGUACGUGAGGGAUCCUGAUUUCAUCAAUGACCCUUUACCGUGUGUGAGUGCCGAGAGUGUCGCAGUCAAGUGCGGUAUCUCCGCCAUAUGGGUCAAGCAAAGCUUCCGCAGGCGAGAAAUUGCGACUACCCUUUUAAACUUGGUCAAAGAGCGUAUGUUUGAUGAAGAGCUCACUUGGCAGGACAUCGCAUUCGCUCACAUCCACUUCUCCGGGAAGCGAUUUGUCCAAAGUUUCUUCCGUAAACAAAUGGGUCCUGAAGAGGAUGCGGACAAGAGAUCGACUCCUGCAGAAAACGCGGAGAGAGAGGAUUGA
rnacentral:lncRNA from 1 species